GACGAACGCUGGCGGCGUGCCUAACACAUGCAAGUCGAACGAACCGCCACUGAGUGCUUGCACUUGGGGAAGGUGAGUGGCGAACGGGUGAGUAACACGUGGGUAACCUACCUUACAGGGGGGGUUAAGAGGCGGAAACUACUGCUAAAACCGCUUAGGACAUGGAAUGAAAUGAUUCGGUGAGGAAAGCUGGCGCAAGCGAUCGCGACGAUAUGGACCUAGGUUGUAUUAGCUAGUUGGUGGGGUAAGGGCCUACCAAGGCGAGGAUGCGUAGCCGACCUGAGAGGGUGAUCGGCCACAUUGGAACUGAGACACGGCCCAGACUCCUACGGGAGGCAGCAGUAGGGAAUCUUCGGCAAUGGACGCAAGUCUGACGGAGCAACACCGCGUGAGUGAAGAAGGUCUUCGGAUCGUAAAGCUCUGUUGUUGGGAAAGAACAGCAGCUGGAGUAACCGUUGUGCGUGUGACGGUACCUAAACAAUAAGCCACGGCUAACUACGUG
rnacentral:rRNA from 1 species